AAUGAACGUUGGCGGCAUGCCUUACACAUGCAAGUCGAACGGUAACGGGCCUUCGGGUGCCGACGAGUGGCGAACGGGUGAGUAAUGUAUCGGAACGUACCUUUCAGUGGGGGAUAACGUAGCGAAAGUUGCGCUAAUACCGCAUAUUCUGUGCGCAGGAAAGCAGGGGAUCGCAAGACCUUGCGCUGAUUGAGCGGCCGAUGUCAGAUUAGCUAGUUGGUGGGGUAAAGGCCUACCAAGGCGACGAUCCGUAGCGGGUCUGAGAGGAUGAUCCGCCACACUGGAACUGAGACACGGUCCAGACUCCUACGGGAGGCAGCAGUGGGGAAUUUUGGACAAUGGGGGCAACCCUGAGCCAGCCAUGCCGCGUGAGUGAAGAAGGCCUUCGGGUUGUAUAGCUCUUUCGGCCGGGAAGAAAUCGCAUGGGCUAGUACCCUGUGCGGAUGACGGUACCGGCAUAAGAAGCACCGGCUAACUACGUGCCAGCCGCCGCGGUAACAC
rnacentral:rRNA from 1 species